AUUUAUUUGGAGAAACGAAAUAUGAAAGAAACGACUAUAUUCUGCCUAUAUAUUAGUUUCAAUAUAUAUUAGUUUCAGCAAAGUCGGGGGCGGGACUAAGUCAAUUAAAUCAACCCCAGGGUGCAACUGGUACUUAUUUUAUCGACUCUGAAAAGAUGAAAUCCAAAGUCGACCCCGGAUGAAUUUGAACUCAGAACAUAAAGACGGACAAAAUGCUUAGCAGCAUUUUGUCCGGCGUGCUAACGAUUCUGCCAGCCCCUUGAUUUCUAUUUAUAUACUGAAUCCACUUAAGAAGACUAAGAGAAAAAGAUGUUUUAUAUGACACAUUCUACCAGUGUUCCAAGUUUCAAAGUGUUUCGUUAAUGAAAAAUGUGGGCCCCCGUUUUAAAAAAGAUCCGAAAUAUUCCCUACCCGCAAAAUUUUGUGUUAUCGGUCACUUAUUCGCCAUGGAAACCGAGUAAACAACCUUUGAAAUCCACGGGCUCAAGAGAAAAAAGACAAAAAAGUGAGAUUUACUAAAAUCGUCAAACAGUUAAUUCUACUGACAACCUAUUACGAUUUAUUCUGCUCUCCGUCCGCAACUUGAAACUACUUAUUACUGAGGACGGUAAUUUCUCCAGACAAGGCGUUGACCAGCUAGUGGAACAUUGGUGAUAACUCGAGAAUAAUGAACGAGAAUACAUUAGUUACCGAUUAGUUAAAAAUGCUGAUGAAAAAAAAAGGAUUAAAAUAAAUGGAGAAAAAUACGUCUUUAUUU